CAUGUUGAUGAUGAAAAAGAAAAAGAAGGGGAAAAAAAAGAAAAAAAGAAGAGGCCUCAAUCGUCCUUGGACUUCUUCUUGUGGGGCAUCGCCUUGCGCGAUUCCUUCUUCUUCUUUUCCCAGGUCUUU
rnacentral:ribozyme from 14 species